rnacentral:rRNA from 1 species
UACAGAGGAGCCAAGCGUUGUCCGGAUUGACUGGGCGUAGAGCGCACGCAGGCGGGGGCGCGCGUGGGGGGUGAAAUCUGGCCGCUUAACGGCCAGGCGCCAUCCCAUACGGCGCGCCUGGAGGGCUGCAGAGGUCGAUGGAAUUCCCGGUGUAGCGGUGAAAUGCGUAGAGCUCGGGAAGAACAUCGGUGGCGAAAGCGCUCUGCUGGACUGCAACUGACACUCAGGGACGAAAGCUAGGGGAGCGAAUGGG